UCUUGGGCCCAGCCAGCUACCUAGGGAGAGAGGUAAAACUGGACAAAAACUGUACAUAAAGCAUGAACUGAACCCAAAGUGAUCCUGUGAAGCUGUAAAAAGUCUCUUCUCUGAAAACAGAGGUGCUUUAUGUUCUUAUACAGGAAUAAGUGCAACAGUGUGGGGAUGUUUUUGCACCCAUAUAUUUGGUAUAGAACCAUUGCCUUGGCCCAACAUGAAAUAAAAGAGCCAAUUUCUCCCCUCCCAUUGACCUGAAAUGCCUCCCUACAUAUUUCACUGUUGGUCUCAUGAUUGUUGUUAGCCAAGAUUUGUUGCUUGUUGUUUUUGUCCAAAAACUGGCAACUUUCAUCAGCCCAAACUCUGCUUUUUGCAGUGUCUAGGGGCUUCUUUCAAAGCAGCUAAUGAAGGGAAGAAAGCCUAUCUUCAGGAUACCAGAGCUUUUAAAUAGGGGUUAGCACCUCUGUUUCAGGAUUUUCUAUCAGAGAAAGUCUGAGUUCUGCUCCUUUGGAAAAAUAAUUUCUUACUGACCAGAGCAAGACAGUAAGUUCAACUAACAAAAUGAAAGCAUGAAGCCUGCAACCUGACUGGUAUGCACAAUUUCUCUUCUACAAGGCUAAAUGCACAAAAUGCAUAAAAACUGGAAACUGAUCCCUCUUUUGUCUCAAAACCUCUCCUUCAGGGAUCUUCAGCCCACUGGAACCUGUCUGAGAACCCAAGAGCCCAGAGAUGUUUGGUGGCAGCUCCUUGCUGGAGCUGCCCAGGAACCAGCAGGCAGUGGUGACUUUACAGACAGCUUACAUCAUAAUAGUGACUGACCUUUCUUUGGAAUGGCACAUCUAAAAAUGGCAUUCCUUGCUGGUGACAGGAGGGUGUUUGAGAUGCAGGCUCCAGCCCAAUCCUCUCCUCAGACGUGGGAGUAAGCUAUUUCUAUUGAACAGGAAGACGGAUUAGAUGCAGAAUGGCAUUAAAAGGAGAGAGUAAUGCAGAAGCAUCACUGUUGUUUCUUGAAUGUAAUUUUAAGUAAAUGACCUUAAACUGCUCACAUGCUUGAAAAUAAAUCUCUGUUCUGCUUGGG